CGAGAUAUGACCUUCGAUUCUUAUAUAAAUACGCCUCAAGUGUUCCAAAUUUUAUUACAGAAUAUAGGGUUUUUCGCUGCCACUGCCUCUAUUGCAUUUACAUAGCAGCAGAAGAGCGUUCAAGCUUGGGAUCUCGUAAUCGGAGGUUUUGUUCACUUUUUACCGAGAGCUGGCAGGCUUUACCAGUGAAGAAAUGAGUGAAUUCAUCAAGUCCUCACCGAUAAAGGAGUUGGGCUUCUUCUCAUUCGUUCGGAACUUCAAGGAACUCAGAUCUAUUUCGCUGGAAAUUUUUCUGGAACUACCGGCUUAUGUUCCCGGGCAGGCUUCUUCAUCUUAUGAGUCUUCUUCAUCUGAUGAGGCUUCUUUAUCUGAUGCGUCUUCAUCCGAUGACGAGUACACAUACAUUGCACCAGCAGACCACACAUUGCUUCUCUUUGGAUGUUGCGAGGUCCGUUGUUGGAGUAAAUAUAAAGAAUCAUUCGUCACAGCUGAUCCAAGUUCAACAAUGUCGGCAUCAAACUCACUCCUCUCUCGUUUAGUUAAAUGUUAAUUUGGGACUAACUUUGAUAUGGGAACGUUUCUACAAAUGGUUUUGUUCGUUCAAUUCUAUUUUCAAACGGAUGUUUCAUGUUUGUAUAAUAAUAUCUCCGUCGUACUUUUGCACUAU